rnacentral:tRNA from 1 species
CGCCCGUAGCUCAGAGGACAGAGCGUCGCACUGCGGCUGCGAAGGUCGGAGGUUCGAGUCCUCCCGGGCG